rnacentral:rRNA from 1 species
UGCGAUUUGACAAUGGCGAAGCUGAUCCAGCGACGCGCGUGAGGACGAGCUCGGGUGUAAACUCUGUGUGAGGACGAUAGAUCUGGAGGAAAUGCCAGAUCGAUGACGUACCUCACGAGAAAGCCCAGGCUAACUACGUGCCAGCAGCCGCGGUAAUACGUAGGGGGCGAGCGUUACCUGGAUUCACUGGGCGUAAAGGGGGCGCAGGCGAUCCAGUAUGUCGGGUGUGAAAUCCCACAGCUCAACUGUGGAAUUGCGCCCGAAACUACUGGGUUUGGGGCUGGUAGAGGGAGACGGAACUGCUGGUGUAGGGGUGACAUCCGUAGAUAUCAGCAGGAACGCCGGUGGAGAAGCCGGUCUCCUGGGCCAAGCCCGACGCUGAGGCCCGAAAGCUAGGGGAGCAAACCGGAUUAGAUACCCGGGUAGUCCUAGCCGUAAACGAUGCCCACUAGGUGUGGGGGAGUCAUUCCUCCGUGCUGUAGCUAACGCGUUAAGUGGGCCGCCUGGGGAGUACGCCCGCAAGGGUGAAACUCAAAGGAAUUGGCGGGACCCCGCACAAGCGGUGGAGCGUGUGGUUUAAUUGGAUGUUAAGCCAAGAACCUUACCAGGGCUUGACAUGCAGGUGGUACCAACCCGAAAGGGAAGGGACCCUUUCCUUUUGGAAAGGGAGCCUGCACAGGUGGUGCACGGCCGUCGUCAGCUCGUGCCGUGAGGUGUUGGGUUAAGUCCCGCAACGAGCGCAACCCCUGCCCUUAGUUGCCAGCGGUUCGGCCGGGCACUCUAAGGGGACCGCCGGCGACGAGCCGGAGGAAGGAGGGGACGACGUCAGGUACUCGUGCCCUUUAUGCCCUGGGCUACACACGCGCUACAAUGGGUGGUACAGUGGGUCGCGACCUCGCGAGAGGGAGCCAAUCCCCAAAACCAUCCUCAGUUCAGAUCGCAGGCUGCAACCCGCCUGCGUGAAGCCGGAAUCGCUAGUAAUCGCGGAUCAGCCAUGCCGCGGUGAAUACGUUCCCGGGGUU